GGAGAAACCAGAGUGGCUUGAAGCACCUUGCUUGGAGCCAGGAGAAAGGGAGGACCCUGUGGGAACUCAGAACCUGGAGUCAGCACGAGUGGGACCCUCUGAAAGGCGAUCGAGAGGUAACCUGGGGAACACAGAGGUUUGGGUUAACGAGGGAAGUCAGAACUCAGUAGAGAGACUGUGGCCUUAGUCGUACCACUACGGUUAACACUCUGCCGUCCUCCUGCUUUCUGGAUGCUGCUCUUAUAGUGCGAUCAGACGCAGCUCAACCAGCCGCAGGUGUGUGCGCCCUGCCCACCUGUCAACUGCAAACACCUGCGGAGAAAGCAGAAAGAAGCAGAACCGGCAGAAACUGCACGGCCCUGUCGGCUGAGUCCUGACACAAGCUCUGAGCCUGCCUGUCCCUGUUCUGAUCUGUCUGCCUGACCUGUCUUCUGACUCCUGUUGGAUUUCUGCCUGUCCCCGGACCAAACCUGGAACUGUUUCCCGACAGUGUUCUGGAUUUCCCUUCAGUGCCUGUUCAGAACCUCUGAUCUCCUGGUUUUGACUCUUGAGCACGUCCCCCACACCAGCUUUGGCUUCGCCCUCCGCAUUAUCCUACCUUCCAUCGUGUGCUCGGUUUUGAUCUCCUGCCUGUCCUCCGACCUCUGGGACAUCAGUAUCUGGGAUUCUCUGGGCGGCACCCACCGCGUCUUGUAGCCAGCUGACCGGCUGGAAUCCACCUCCUCGUCUCGGCACAGACUGAACUGUAAGACCAGAGGUUCCUGCCUUAAACGUCAACACUGUUCACUGCAGCUCAUUUUUCAAUAAACUUUUUGAGAAAUCCAACUGUA